rnacentral:rRNA from 1 species
CCAAUAGCGUAUAUUAAAGUUGUUGCAGUUAAAAAGCUCGUAGUUGAAUUUCGGGAUUAGUACGUUGGUCGUGCCUUCGGUACGUACUGGUGUUACUGAUUCCUACCUUCUGACGAACCAUCAUGUCAUUAAUUUGGUGUGGUGGGGAAUCAGGACUGUUACUUUGAAAAAUUAGAGUGUUUAAAGCAGGCUCGCGCUUGAAUACAUUAGCAUGGAAUAAUGAAAUAGGACGUUGACCCUAUUUUGUUGGUUUCUAGGAUUGACGUAAUGAUUAAUAGGGAUAGUUGGGGGCAUUAGUAUUCAAUUGUCAGAGGUGAAAUUCUUGGAUUUAUUGAAGACUAACUACUGCGAAAGCAUUUGCCAAGGAUGUUUUCAUUAAUCAAGAACGAAAGUUAGGGGAUCGAAGACGAUCAGAUACCGUCGUAGUCUUAACCAUAAACUAUGCCGACUAGGGAUCGGAUGAUGUUAUUUUUAAUGACUCAUUCGGCGCCUUACGAGAAA